UCAAGUAAAGGAAGAGCACAAGGUGAAUGCCUUGGCUGCAUAAGGCGAUGAAGGACGUAAUAACCUGCGAUAAGCCUCGGGGAGCUGGUAAAUAAGCUUCGAUCCGAGGAUUUCCGAAUGGGAAAACCCAAUAUACGUAAGUAUAUUAUCUUAUACUGAAUACAUAGGUAUAAGAGGCGAACCUGGGGAACUGAAACAUCUAAGUACCCAGAGGAAAAGAAAUCAACAGAGAUUCCGGUAGUAGCGGCGAGCGAAACCGGACCAGCCCUUAAGCUUAUUUUAGUCCAGCAAAAUAUUCUGGAAAGUUUGACCAUAGUGGGUGAUAGUCCCGUAUGCGAAAGACUAAUUUAAGUGAAAUCGAGUAGGUCGGAACACGUGAAAUUCUGACUGAAUAUGGGGGGACCAUCCUCCAAGGCUAAAUACUCUAUGCAGACCGAUAGUGAACCAGUACCGUGAGGGAAAGGCGAAAAGAACCCCGGCGAGGGGAGUGAAAUAGAACCUGAAACCUUGUGCUUACAAGCAGUCGGAGCAGACUUGUUCUGUGACGGCGUACCUUUUGUAUAAUGGGUCAACGACUUAAUUUCAGUAGCAAGCUUAACCAUAUAGGGUAGGCGUAGGGAAACCGAGUCUUAAUAGGGCGCUCAGUUGCUGGAAUUAGACCCGAAACCGGGUGAUCUAUCCAUGGCCAGUGUGAAGGUCGAGUAACAUCGACUGGAGGCGCGAACCCACUUAUGUUGAAAAAUGAGGGGAUGAGCUGUGGAUAGGAGUGAAAGGCUAAUCAAACCCGGAGAUAGCUGGUUCUCUUCGAAAACUAUUUAGGUAGUGCCUCGUGUAUUACUGUAGGGGGUAGAGCACUGUUUCGGCUAGGGGGUCAUCCCGACUUACCAAACCGAUGCAAACUCCGAAUACCUACAAGUAUGAGCACGGGAGACAGACUGCGGGUGCUAACGUCCGUAGUCGAGAGGGAAACAACCCAGACUGUCAGCUAAGGUCCCUAAUUAUGAUUAAGUGGGAAACAAUGUGGGAAGGCACAAACAGCUAGGAAGUUGGCUUAGAAGCAGCCAUCUUUUAAAGAAAGCGUAAUAGCUCACUAGUCGAGUCGGCCUGCGUGGAAGAUAUAACGGGGCUAAAUCAUAAACCGAAGCUACAGAUCUUAAAUUUAUUUAAGAUGGUAGAAGAGCGUUCUGUAAGCGGAUGAAGGUGAGCUGAGAGGCGAGCUGGACGUAUCAGAAGUGCGAAUGUUGACAUGAGUAACGAUCAAAGAGGUGAAAAACCUCUUCGCCGAAAAACCAAGGGUUCCUGUCCAACGCUAAUCGUGGCAGGGUGAGGCGGCCCCUAAGGCGAGGGCGAAAGCCGUAGUCGAUGGGAAACAGGUUAAUAUUCCUGUACUUUUUAUAACUGCGAUGGGGUGACGGAGAAGGUUAGGCUAGCACGGCGACGGUUGUCCGUGUUCAAGGUUGUAGGCUGGUGUUCUAGGUAAAUCCGGAACGCCAUAUAGGCUGAGGACUGAUAACGACCACUCUACGAGUGGGAAGUAGCUGAUACCAUGCUUCCAGGAAAAACCUCUAAGCUUCAGGUUAUAAGAAACCGUACCCUAAACCGACACAGGUGGUUAGGUCGAGUAGACCAAGGUGUUUGAGAGAACUAUGGUGAAGGAACUAGGCAAAAUAGCACCGUAACUUCGGGAGAAGGUGCGCUACGUUUGGUGAUGGGACUUGCUCCUUGAGCUAAACGUAGUCGAAGAUACCAGGUGGCUGCGACUGUUUACUAAAAACAUAGCACUCUGCAAACUCGUAAGAGGAAGUAUAGGGUGUGACGCCUGCCCGGUGCCGGAAGGUUAAUUGAUGGGGUUAGCUUCGGCGAAGCUCUUGAUCGAAGCCCCGGUAAACGGCGGCCGUAACUAUAACGGUCCUAAGGUAGCGAAAUUCCUUGUCGGGU
rnacentral:rRNA from 1 species